CAGUAGCCGCGGUAAUACGUAGGUGGCAAGCGUUGUCCGGAAUUAUUGGGCGUAAAGCGCGCGCAGGUGGUUUAAUAAGUCUGAUGUGAAAGCCCACGGCUCAACCGUGGAGGGUCAUUGGAAACUGUUAAACUUGAGUGCAGGAGAGAAAAGUGGAAUUCCUAGUGUAGCGGUGAAAUGCGUAGAGAUUAGGAGGAACACCAGUGGCGAAGGCGGCUUUUUGGCCUGUAACUGACACUGAGGCGCGAAAGCGUGGGGAGCAAACAGGAUUAGAUACCCCCGUAGUCCCUGUCUCUUAUAU
rnacentral:rRNA from 1 species